UGAUCUUGUAUUUACAUGUAGGGAUUCAAGUUUCAUCUGUUUCAGUCGUGGAUCCAGGAUCGAUUAGUAAUCUUCUGUUAUUCGUUUAAACCAGGAGUCUCCAAAUUAUGAACUGUGAUAUGAUUUUGGUCGAACGAUCUUAUGAGGUUUAAAAAAGCAGCUUUUAGGACAUACGUAAGGAGAGCCUUUACUUACUGUUCAGACCCAGCUGAUUACGAAAAAGAACUACAAUACUUGAUAAAUCAAGCCAAAAAGCAUGGCUAUACAGAAGGAUUUGUAAGAUCGAUUGAAAGUAAGGUCAAGACGACAUUAACAUCUUCGCAAAUGCCACUGAACGCACACAACUAUCAAAACCAAACCAAGAUUGAAGAAAAUAAAGAAAAUGGAUACAUCUCUGUUCUGUAUGACCUAACUAAAUACCCAGUGAUUAAAAAAUAGCUAAGCUUCAUAAUAAAAAAAUAGCAGUCCAAAGGAAUCCUACGGUGUUCUCUUCCCUAAGAAACUCCAAAGACAGGCUUAAAGACAACUGCAAAUCAGGAGUAUACGGUAUUCAAGUAAAAAAUAUGAACACAGGACAAGAAAGUUACUACAUUGGAUACACAAGUCGCACAUUAGACGAAAGAAUAGAUGAACAUAAAAAGAUCUCCAGCAAGGUAGAUUAUCCACCGGCCUAGCAGAAGCUUGCUACUCUAC
rnacentral:lncRNA from 1 species